GGGGGGGGGGGGGGGGGGGGCGGGGGGGGGGGGGGGGGGGGGGCGGGGGGGGGGGUGGCGUCUGGGGGGUUGGCGGCGGGCGGGUGAGUAGCACGUGGGUGAGCUGGCGAUAAGACGGGGAGAACUUCGGGAAACCGGAGCGAAUGGAGUAUACGAUUUUGAACCGGCGGGUUCAAAAGUGAGAGACGGUCUUGCUGUCACUGACAGAGUGAUCCGCGCUGCAUUAGCUAGUGUGUAAGGUAACGGCUGUCCAAUGCAACGAUGCAUAGCCGACCUGAGAGGGUGAUCGGCCACACUGGACCUGAGACACGGUCCAGACUACUACGGGAGGCAGCAGUAGGGAAUCUUCCGCACUGGGCGAAAGCCUGACGGAGCAACGCCGCGUGAGUGAUGAAGGUCUUCGGAUCGUAAAACUCUGGGAUUAGGGAAGAACAUAUGUGUAAGUAACUGUGCACAUCUUGACGGUACCUAAUCAGAAAGCCACGGCUAACUACGUG
rnacentral:rRNA from 1 species